rnacentral:sRNA from 1 species
UAUCCAGUGAGUCCGAGAAAUGAUUGU